rnacentral:rRNA from 1 species
AACGCUGGCGGCAUGCCUAAUACAUGCAAGUCGAACGAGAUCUUCGGAUCUAGUGGCGCACGGGUGCGUAACGCGUGGGAAUCUGCCCUUGGGUUCGGAAUAACAGUUGGAAACGACUGCUAAUACCGGAUGAUGACGUAAGUCCAAAGAUUUAUCGCCCAGGGAUGAGCCCGCGUAGGAUUAGCUAGUUGGUGGGGUAAAGGCCUACCAAGGCGACGAUCCUUAGCUGGUCUGAGAGGAUGAUCAGCCACACUGGGACUGAGACACGGCCCAGACUCCUACGGGAGGCAGCAGUAGGGAAUAUUGGACAAUGGGGGCAACCCUGAUCCAGCAAUGCCGCGUGAGUGAUGAAGGCCUUAGGGUUGUAAAGCUCUUUUACCAGAGAUGAUAAUGACAGUAUCUGGGGAAUAAGCCCCGGCUAACUCCGUGCCAGCAGCCGCGGUAAUACGGAGGGGGCUAGCGUUGUUCGGAAUUACUGGGCGUAAAGCGCACGUAGGCGGCGAUUUAAGUCAGAGGUGAAAGCCCGGGGCUCAACCCCGGAACUGCCUUUGAGACUGGAUUGCUUGAAUCCGGGAGAGGUGAGUGGAAUUCC